CUCAAUUGCCUUUGCUUACAUGGAUAACUGUGGUAAUUCUAGAGCUAAUACAUGCGUAAAACGCCCCCGUCUUUGGGAAGGGGGGUAUUUUUUUAGAUAAAAAAACCCUCCUCUCCCGAAGUUUGGUGAUUCAUAAUAACUUCUCGAAUCGCACGGCCUUGUGCUGGCGAUGCUUCAUUCAAAUAUCUGCCCUAUCAACUGUCGAUGGUAGGAUAGAGGCCUACCAUGGUUGCAACGGGUAACGGGGAAUAAGGGUUCGAUUCCGGAGAGGGAGCCUGAGAAACGGCUACCACAUCCCAAGGGAAGGCAACAGGCGCGCAAAUUACCCAAUCCCGACACGGGGAGGUAGUGACAAUAAAUAACAAUGCAGGGCCCUUUUGGGUCUUGUAAUUGGAAUGAGUACAAUUUAAAUCCCUUAACGAGGAACGAUU
rnacentral:rRNA from 1 species